UGGGGAAUAUUGGACAAUGGGCGAAAGCCUGAUCCAGCCAUGCCGCGUGUGUGAAGAAGGUCUUCGGAUUGUAAAGCACUUUAAGUUGGGAGGAAGGGCAGUAAGCGAAUACCUUGCUGUUUUGACGUUACCGAAAGAAUAAGCACCGGCUAACUCUGUGCCAGCAGCCGCGGUAAUACAGAGGGUGCAAGCGGUAAUCGGAAUUACUGGGCGUAAAGCGCGCGUAGGGGGUUCGUUAAGUUGAAUGUGAAAGCCCCGGGCUCAACCUGGGAACUGCAUCCAAAACUGGCGAGCGAGAGUAGGGCAGAGGGUGGUGGAAUUUCCUGUGUAGCGGUGAAAUGCGUAGAUAUAGGAAGGAACACCAGUGGCGAAGGCGACCACCUGGGCUCAUACUGACACUGAGGUGCGAAAGCGUGGGGAGCAAACAGG
rnacentral:rRNA from 1 species